rnacentral:rRNA from 1 species
UACAGAGGUGGCAAGCGUUAUUCGGAAUUAUUGGGCGUAAAGGGCGCGUAGGCGGCUUGGCAAGUGGAUGGUGAAAUCCCUCGGCUUAACCGAGGAACGGCCGUCCAAACUGCUUCGCUUGAGACCGGGAGAGGUGAGUGGAAUUCCCAGUGUAGCGGUGAAAUGCGUAGAUAUUGGGAGGAACACCAGUGGCGAAGGCGGCUCACUGGACCGGUACUGACGCUGAAGCGCGAAAGCGUGGGGAGCAAACGGG